AGAGUUUGAUCAUGGCUCAGAUUGAACGCUGGCGGCAGGCCUAACACAUGCAAGUCGAGCGGUAGCACAGAGAGCUUGCUCUCGGGUGACGAGCGGCGGACGGGUGAGUAAUGUCUGGGAAACUGCCUGAUGGAGGGGGAUAACUACUGGAAACGGUAGCUAAUACCGCAUAACGUCGCAAGACCAAAGUGGGGGACCUUCGGGCCUCAUGCCAUCAGAUGUGCCCAGAUGGGAUUAGCUAGUAGGUGGGGUAACGGCUCACCUAGGCGACGAUCCCUAGCUGGUCUGAGAGGAUGACCAGCCACACUGGAACUGAGACACGGUCCAGACUCCUACGGGAGGCAGCAGUGGGGAAUAUUGCACAAUGGGCGCAAGCCUGAUGCAGCCAUGCCGCGUGUAUGAAGAAGGCCUUCGGGUUGUAAAGUACUUUCAGCGGGGAGGAAGGCGAUAAGGUUAAUAACCUUGUCGAUUGACGUUACCCGCAGAAGAAGCACCGGCUAACUCCGUGCCAGCAGCCGCGGUAAUACGGAGGGUGCAAGCGUUAAUCGGAAUUACUGGGCGUAAAGCGCACGCAGGCGGUCUGUCAAGUCGGAUGUGAAAUCCCCGGGCUCAACCUGGGAACUGCAUUCGAAACUGGCAGGCUAGAGUCUUGUAGAGGGGGGUAGAAUUCCAGGUGUAGCGGUGAAAUGCGUAGAGAUCUGGAGGNUCGGUUGAAGAGAAAAAUCCUGAAAAACGGGUUGACUCUGAAAGAGGAAAGCGUAAUAUACGCCACCUCGCGACAGAGCGCUAAAGCGCGUCGCAACUGCUCUUUAACAAUUUAUCAGACAAUCUGUGUGGGCACUCAAAGUGACAUGGAUUCUUAAUGUCUUCGGACAAUAAAUGAAUACCAAGUCUCAAGAGUGAACACGUAAUUCAUUACGAAGUUUAAUUCUUUGAGCAUCAAACUUAA
rnacentral:rRNA from 1 species